GCAAACUUGGUCAUUUAGAGGAAGUAAAAGUCGUAACAAGGUUUCCGUAGGUGAACCUGCGGAAGGAUCAUUACAUUAGAACAUAGGCCCCAAGCUGUAGCAAUAUAGCCCAAAGGCCUCUUCUAUUACCCUUGUUUUUUGAGUACCUAUGUUUCCUUGGUGGGCUUGCCUGCCAAUAGGACAAACUAUUAAACCUUUUUUAAUCUUCAAUCAGCGUCUGAAUAAACUUUAAUAAUUACAACUUUCAACAACGGAUCUCUUGGUUCUGGCAUCGAUGAAGAACGCAGC
rnacentral:misc_RNA from 1 species